GAUGAACGCUGGCGGCGUGCCUAAUACAUGCAAGUCGAGCGAACGGACGAGAAGCUUGCUUCUCUGAUGUUAGCGGCGGACGGGUGAGUAACACGUGGAUAACCUACCUAUAAGACUGGGAUAACUUCGGGAAACCGGAGCUAAUACCGGAUAAUAUUUUGAACCGCAUGGUUCAAAAGUGAAAGACGGUCUUGCUGUCACUUAUAGAUGGAUCCGCGCUGCAUUAGCUAGUUGGUAAGGUAACGGCUUACCAAGGCAACGAUGCAUAGCCGACCUGAGAGGGUGAUCGGCCACACUGGAACUGAGACACGGUCCAGACUCCUACGGGAGGCAGCAGUAGGGAAUCUUCCGNCAUGGGCGAAAGCCUGACGGAGCAACGCCGCGUGAGUGAUGAAGGUCUUCGGAUCGUAAAACUCUGUUAUUAGGGAAGAACAUAUGUGUAAGUAACUGUGCACAUCUUGACGGUACCCUAUCAGAAAGCCACGGCUAACUACGUGCCAGCAGCCGCGGGUAUACGUAGGUGGCAAGCGUUAUCCGGAAUUAUUGGGCGUAAGCGCGCGUAGCGGUUUUUCAGUCUGAUGUGAAAGCCCACGGCUCAACCGUGGAGGGUCAUUGGAAACUGGAAAACUUGAGUGCAGAAGAGGAAAGUGGAACUCCAUGUGUAGCGGUGAAAUGCGCAGAGAUAUGGAGGAACACCAGUGGCGAAGGCGACUUUCUGGUCUGUAACUGACGCUGAUGUGCGAAAGCGUGGGGAUCAAACAGGAUUAGAUACCCUGGUAGUCCACGCCGUAAACGAUGAGUGCUAAGUGUUAGGGGGUUUCCGCCCCUUAGUGCUGCAGCUAACGCAUUAAGCACUCCGCCUGGGGAGUACGACCGCAAGGUUGAAACUCAAAGGAAUUGACGGGGACCCGCACAAGCGGUGGAGCAUGUGGUUUAAUUCGAAGCAACGCGAAGAACCUUACCAAAUCUUGACAUCCUUUGACAACUCUAGAGAUAGAGCCUUCCUCUUCGGGGGACAAAGUGACAGGUGGUGCAUGGUUGUCGUCAGCUCGUGUCGUGAGAUGUUGGGUUAAGUCCCGCAACGAGCGCAACCCUUAAGCUUAGUUGCCAUCAUUAAGUUGGGCACUCUAAGUUGACUGCCGGUGACAAACCGGAGGAAGGUGGGGAUGACGUCAAAUCAUCAUGCCUCUUAUGAUUUGGGCUACACACGUGCUACAAUGGACAAUACAAAGGGCAGCGAAACCGCGAGGUCAAGCAAAUCCCAUAAAGUUGUUCUCAGUUCGGAUUGUAGUCUGCAACUCGACUACAUGAAGCUGGAAUCGCUAGUAAUCGUAGAUCAGCAUGCUACGGUGAAUACGUUCCCGGGUCU
rnacentral:rRNA from 1 species